AUUGAACGCUGGCGGCAUGCCUUACACAUGCAAGUCGAACGGCAGCACGGGAGCAAUCCUGGUGGCGAGUGGCGAACGGGUGAGUAAUAUAUCGGAACGUGCCCAGUCGUGGGGAUAACGUAGCGAAAGCUACGCUAAUACCGCAUACGAUCUAUGGAUGAAAGCGGGGGAUCGCAAGACCUCGCGCGAUUGGAGCGGCCGAUAUCAGAUUAGGUAGUUGGUGAGGUAAAGGCUCGCCAAGCCGACGAUCUGUAGCUGGUCUGAGAGGACGACCAGCCACACUGGGACUGAGACACGGCCCAGACUCCACGGGAGGCAGCAGUGGGGAAUUUUGGACAAUGGGCGCAAGCCUGAUCCAGCAAUG
rnacentral:rRNA from 1 species